rnacentral:rRNA from 1 species
CACUGAAGCUAAGCAGGGCUGAGCCUGGUCAGUACCUGGAUGGGAGACCUCCUGGGGAAACUAGGUUGCUGCUGGAA